AGCGGCAUGUACUACGACUGCUGAACACGCUUCGCUUCAUGCUAGAACAACAAGCAGACACUUUGAACAAGUUGUGCGAUAUGCUCCCUACUUCUUCAGUCACCGAAUGCGCAGAUCUCUUAGGCCAUCCAGUAAGCAGUCUUGAAGAACUACAAGAGUUUGAUGACAAGCUCGAUGCUGGAAAAUUUAAGAUCCUGGUAAGCUAUGUUUCUUUCUUGCUUUCUUGUUUCAGUUAAUCGAACUCAUAAUGAAUAUUCAAAAUGUUGAAACACUGAAGUUUUGCAAUAUGAAGAAUGUUAUGGGUUUUUCGUACAUUGCUUACUUGCCUUAUGACUUAAUACUCUUUUUCAUAUUCUAAAACAAUCAAAUCACCCAAGUUUCUUUGUUGAAAAGAAUUUCUUCUCUUUUGUACACAUGUACAUGAGUUGACACAGCUCGGUGGGAAAGAUGCCUACUGGGCAACAAAAAGAAUCUUGUCAUACUGCAUCACGGACGAGGUUGCGGCACAAUUUUCCUGGAUGAGUCGAAAAGGAAAACUGAGCUUCCCCGCCUUGAAGAUUGCUAAAGCCAUAGCAGAUGGUGCUCGCAAAGCGCCAAACGCAACUGCUGCUGAUGUUGAGGCCUCUAUCAAAUCGUGGCUCCGGCUUGCCCCCGAGCGCCUUGCCACCAAAUUUCAGAAGCCAUAGCAAAGACAACUUGAGCAGGCAGCAGAUACUGACUGAAACUGUCACCACGGCAGAGGGUCCAAGGCUUCCAGCUUCUGAUUUCCUGGUCAUUCUGUGGAUAUUGAUGGCAGCAGGUAGCACAUGGCAAAGACAAGGACCCUGCACUGUUGGCAACCAGCUCAACCACACCUUCAUGGGGAUUUCUCAACCGAUGUGCCACCUCCACACUUCAGUAUAGUACCUUUUCUUUAAAAAAUGUGAAGAGUGCUGUCACAAUUCAUGUUUUGCAGGUAGCAUCCACUUUAGGCAUUUGGGGUUAUGUGCAACAUAGUGUUUCUUUUUGUUUGAUGAAUAAUUUUUUAAAGAUACAGCUGAACUAAAGAACAUUGCAAGUUCGACUUUUGACUUGUGUCCACAUUAUAGUGUAUCUGUGUUAUCUACUGUUAUAGUGAUCUUCAAAGUCCUGAGCAGUUUAUGUUGCAUUGUUACCAAGUGCUUUGGAGACUGUUGCAGUCAUACGAGAUAGGUGAAAAUGUCUAGUCAGCUGUAAACGCUGUACAGGUCCAGUUUCCACGUAUUGCCCACUCCUCUGGAACACACGGUAACUCUCAUUCCAUUGCUGCUUUCUGUACCUGCCUUCAGGCAGCAACACAAGCUUAUGCUAGUGCCACUUUGGAAGCAGCUUGCAUUCCUGGAAGCGAAGGCAAUUUUACUUUGUUUACUUAAAAGCCAGUUAAGUAACUGCCAUGUAUUAAAUUGAAUGAUCCAGACCAUAAAAUGCUCUUUUUGACUAAUUUCAGCAAGGAUGGGGAACCAAUAAGUGCGAAUUUUUAAAUAAGAAUUUAAGCUAAAUAUUGGUGCUCUUGUAUGUAUGUUUACCAUUUGUAACAUUUUCUAGCACUAUGAGGCAGUAUCUGUGUUAUAAGUUUUGCUACCAAACUCUUAAAUGCAGCGUACUCCAUUUCUAAGCAAUUAGUUUCAUACUCGAGAAGGUCACUUUUUUUUGAAGCUACUGACAGAACUUUGUUCUGCAGUUGUGCACAUAGUGAAGUUCGUGGUUUUUUGUUUGCACUGCUGACUGGGUUUAAUGUUCAGAUAUUGUGAAAAUAGUUCUAUAAGUUAAAUUCUCGUGCUGCAGCUGUAUUGUAAUAUGCUAAUAUAUCCCUCAACUGCUUUGCAGAGCUUAGGAUACUACAGAGUUACUCCCUAAGUGUAAUUAAUGGCUGUAUUGUGAUAACUAAAGCACUUUACUGAUAGUAAGCUCAACAGCUCUUACAUGAAUUGUUCUCUGUUGCAAAUGAUGUUGCGAUACAUUUUUAUUCUUACCAAUACUAAUGUUAAACUUCUUUAUUCAACGGCUCUUACUAUAUAAUGCGGUAUUUCCCAUUGUGAGUGGCAGUGGCUGCAUUUUUUUUUUUUUGAGGUAGUGUGUAGUUCCCUUUAUUGGUUAUGCUGAAAGAAGGUGGCCUGUGUGCAAUCAUGUAUGUAUUUAAUGCAAUCUAGUCAAAAUCUGUAAGCUAAUGGUGUGCUUGGUCCACAUAUCCCAGCUAUGCUUGGUUUUCUUUGUGUUUCUUAAUUUAAUGUCAUAAAACUUAACUUUUAGAUGUUUUAUGCCCUGACAUUGUAGUAGGGUUGACAUGGUAAAGCCUCUGGUCUUUAUGUUGAAAUUUAAUGUCUUUAUAUGUUUUUAGAUGUAUGUCUCAUGCGCUCAUCUUUUAGUUACUUUAGAGGUUUAUUUGCAUAUGUAGACGCCAUGACCAUUUGUACGGAUAUUGUUGUGCUAGGCGAGAAUAACGACUGUGACAGAUUGAUGGCAUUAUGUUUCUGUGAAUGAAAGUGCCCUUAUGUAUUGUUUCUGGUGGCAAGAGACAAGUCUCUCAUCAUAUCGUGCUUUGGAGUAUAUAUAUUUAGUGAAAUCUAGUCAGAAUCUGUAAACUAAUGGUGGGCUUGGUCCACAUGUCCCAGCUAUGCUUGUUUUUCUUGGUGGUUUUUAAUUUGACAUAAAACUGAACUUUUAGAUAAGUUUUAUGCACUCACUUUCUAACUGGGUUGAUGCAACAGAGCUCGUGUUUAUGUUGGAAUUUAAUGUCUUUAAAUGUUUUUAGCUGUGUCUCAUGCACUCAUCUUUCAAUAAAGUUGCUUCAGAGGUUUAUUUGCAUAUGUAGAAACUAUUGAACGUUAACCAUGUCCAUCUGUACGGAUAUUGUUGUGCUUGACAAGAAUAACGGCUGUGACAGAUUCAUGGCAUUAUGUUUCUGUGAAUGAAAGUGACCUUAUUUAUUGUUUCUGGUGGCAAGAGACAAGUCUCAUCAUAUCGUGCUUUGCAGUUGUAUAUAUUUAGUGCUUGGUGUUGUCUUUGUGUUAGGUUUACUAAAGUAUAGUUUCCUAAAAAAUGUGUAAAGAUUUGAGUUGACCAGCUGAUCAACCCCGAUAUUUCUAUGUUUUUUUCUGAUGCACUAGAGCUGGUGACACUACAUCCACUUGCAGGCUAUUUGGUUUAAGCAUUGGAGAUAGGCUUUGCAGUGCUUGUUCUGUGGAUGCAGAAGCUCUUCUACUGUGAUAACACAAGACCAAAUCCCACUGUUUCUUGCUUCUUUUUGCUUUCCUGUGAAU